GCGGACGGGUGAGUAAUGCUUAGGAAUCUGCCUAUUAGUGGGGGACAACAUUCCGAAAGGGAUGCUAAUACCGCAUACGUCUUACGGGAGAAAGCAGGGGAUCUUCGGACCUUGCGCUAAUAGAUGAGCCUAAGUCGGAUUAGCUAGUUGGUGGGGUAAAGGCCUACCAAGGCGACGAUCUGUAGCGGGUCUGAGAGGAUGAUCCGCCACACUGGGACUGAGACACGGCCCAGACUCCUACGGGAGGCAGCAGUGGGGAAUAUUGGACAAUGGGGGGAACCCUGAUCCAGCCAUGCCGCGUGUGUGAAGAAGGCCUUAUGGUUGUAAAGCACUUUAAGCGAGGAGGAGGCUACUGAGACUAAUACUCUUGGAUAGUGGACGUUACUCGCAGAAUAAGCACCGGCUAACUCUGUGCCAGCAGCCGCGGUAAUACAGAGGGUGCGAGCGUUAAUCGGAUUUACUGGGCGUAAAGCGUGCGUAGGCGGCUUUUUAAGUCGGAUGUGAAAUCCCCGAGCUUAACUUGGGAAUUGCGUUCGAUACUGGGAAGCUAGAGUAUGGGAGAGGAUGGUAGAAUUCCAGGUGUAGCGGUGAAAUGCGUAGAGAUCUGGAGGAAUACCGAUGGCGAAGGCAGCCAUCUGGCCUA
rnacentral:rRNA from 1 species